ensembl:lncRNA
CAAGAGCAAACAUGCCUGAUGGGCCACAGCGCGUCCUGUGUCUGCCUCUGCCUGAGCCUUGCUGAGCGCCAGGUCUCACAGCAGACCCAAGCUGGUGUCUUGGGGUUCAGGAAGCAAACCUGGAGGAGGAGGGCUGCAGACUUCAGGACCUGGAAUCAGCCAAGAAAACAUAACUAGUCCUGUGAAGAAGCAUGAAUAUAUAAUUGAUAAACAACAGAAAAAAAAAUAGACAACAGACACACAAAUCAUUCAGCUAUUGGAAUCAGUAGACGGAACUUUAUAAUAAUGAGUGGAAGAACUGGAACUCUCAUGCACUGCUGGUGGAAGUGUAAAAUCCAUGUAUCUGCCAGAGCACACUAAGGAUACAAAAACUACACAGUACUUUGGACAGGAAAUUUUACUGUGAAGAAUUAUUAAGGGGCUUCCUUGGUGGCUCAGCAGUGAAGAAUCUGCCUGCCAAUGCAGGAGACACAGGUUCGAUCCCUGAUGGGGGAAGAUCCCACAUGCUGCAGUGCAACUAAGCCCCUGCACCACGACUUUUGAGCCUGUGCUCUAGAGCCCAGGAGCUGCAACUAUGAGGCCACGUGCUACAUCUACUGAUGCCUGUGUGCCUUGAGCCUGUGUUCCGCAACAAGAUAAGCCACUGCACUGAGAAGCCCAUGAACUGCAACUAGAGAGAGAGCAGCUCCCGCUCUCCACAUCUAGAAAAAGCCUUCACAGCAACGAAGACCCAGCACAGCCCCCAAAAUAAAUAAUACAUUUUAAUAUAAAGAAUUAUUAAGGAUAAGAGGAGACUGCCUAGUAAGGAGAAAAGAUAACCCUAAAGAAUAUAGUUAUAGCAGAUGUCAGGAGUAGACUCUAGGGCUGAGGCAGAGAACCCAAAGGAGGAACAAAGCUGAAUGAGUCCCAGUCCUCACCUUCUACCCCAGGGCUGAGAAUCUCCAUUGUUGGAGAUUAUGUAGCCAUGACCCACGGGAUGAUGAAGAACGGCCAGUCUCAAAGACAAGGCAGGCCCUUUGUUCAAGGUCCAUGCAGAUGGAAUUUACUGGAAAGCAUUUUCCUCUUGGUGCUGAGGGAAGUCAUCCAUGGAAGGGAGUCACACUGUGGAAACAGCUGGAAAUUUUCCCACAGGAAUAAUACAUUGGAAAGUCAACCUCUGAGGUUUUGGAGGAAGCUGCACAUGGAGAUAUGCUUUGUGUUUCUGACUGCCACAUGCUGCAGGAACCUGCCGAGGAAGACAUCAGAACCAGAAGAGAAGCCUCUUUCUCCUACGGUGGCUGCCAUUGCUCCCUACUGACAAACCUUGACACUGUACUGGAUGGCAAGGGAGAAAUGCUGGCAGGGCCCAGCUCCGUUAGAACAGGGCAGGUAACUGAGAACGGGCCUGGAGGUAAUAAACUGAUAACUGACAAAAUUGGCUUUGCAAAACUAUUUAGUAGAGUCUCCUAAAACUAAACAUACAGCUACCUUUGGACUCAAAUUUUUUAUUAAUACUCCUAGGUAUAUAUCUAAAGACAAAUUAGUAUAUUCACCAAAAGACACAUUUAAGAAUAUUUAUAGCAGUUUUAGUCAUAAUAGCCCCCAAAGUGGAGACAAUCCAAAUGUUUAUUAACUACAGGAUGAAUAAAUAAAUCAUAGUUUAUUCAUAUAAUGGAAUAUUCUACUGCAAUAACUAAGAAUGAUACACAAACAGAAAUGAAUCUCACAGACAUUUUAUUAAGUGAAAGAAGUCAGAUGCAAAAGAUAACAUAUACUAAGUCCAGUAAAAAGUAAAACUAAUCAAUGGUGAUUGGAAUCAGAAUAGUGGUUUUCUCUUGGGGGAGAGGAAUGAGAACUGCGUGGGUGGGAAAGAAGAGCUGGAAAUGUUAUGUAUCUCGAUCUGGGUGGUGGUUACAAGGAUAUACACUAACGUGAAAGUUCAACAAGCUGAGCAUUAAUGAUUAGUACACUUUUCACAAACUCUGGGAGAUAGUGAAGGAUAGAGGGGCCUUGUGUGCUUCAGUCCACGGGGAUCGUGAAGAGUCAGGCACAACUUGUGACUGAACAAUAACAACACUUUUCACAUUUCACUGUAUGUGUGUUACACAGUCA